rnacentral:rRNA from 1 species
UACGCAGGGUGCAAGCGUUGUCCGGAAUUACUGGGCGUAAAGAGCUCGUAGGCGGUCUGUCGCGUCUGCUGUGAAAACUCAGGGCUUAACCCUGAGCUUGCAGUGGGUACGGGCAGACUAGAGUGCGGUAGGGGAGACUGGAAUUCCUGGUGUAGCGGUGAAAUGCGCAGAUAUCAGGAGGAACACCGGUGGCGAAGGCGGGUUUCUGGACAGUUCCUGACGCUGAGGCACGAAGGCCAGGGGAGCAAACAGG